AUUAGAGCAAAAGGGUAACAAGAAGGGGAGGGGCAGGGAUAGAAGGAAUGAGAAGGAUACAGUGAAGAAGUAGGGGGCAGAGAAUGAUCAGUGAAGGAGCGGCUGAGUGAGGGACAGGAAUGGAGAAUGAAGCAAAGAGCAAGAGGAAUGAAAUGGAAGGGAAAGUGAGAGUCGUCGAGUGAUAGGAUCCAGAUAAUGGGAUUAGCUGUAAUGAGGGGUUGUACAAAUUUGGGAUUGUUUAUUCUGGAGUGAUGGAGGCUGCGGGGGACAUGAGAGAAGUUUUUUUUAAUCAUGAGAGGUGUAGAUGGGAUUUCUCAGAAUGGAAAUGUCAAAUGUUAGAGUGUACAGCCUUAAAUUGAGAGGGGAAAGUUUAAAGGAGAUUUAUGAGGCACGUAAUUUUUUUACAGUGAGUGGUAAAUGCCAGGAACAUGCUGCAAGGGGAAGUGGUUGAAGCAGAUAAAAUAUCAACGUUUCAGAAACAGAUACAUUUAGACAGCCACACGAAGAGGCAGGAAAUUGAAGGAUAUACAGUAGUUCAUGUGCAGGCAGAUGUGCAUUUUAAAUUUGCAUCAUAGUUGACACAAACAUAGACUGGAAAGGCCCAUUACUGUGCUCUACUGUUCUGUGUUUAAGAUGUAGAGGGGAGAUGUUGAGUGACAGAAGAUGCA